CGGGAGGGCAGCAGUAGGGAAUCUUCCGCAAUGGACGAAAGUCUGACGGAGCAACGCCGCGUGAGUGAUGAAGGUUUUCGGAUCGUAAAACUCUGUUGUCAGGGAAGAACAAGUGCCGUUCAAAUAGGGCGGCACCUUGACGGUACCUGACCAGAAAGCCCCGGCUAACUACGUGCCAGCAGCCGCGGUAAUACGUAGGGGGCAAGCGUUGUCCGGAAUUAUUGGGCGUAAAGCGCGCGCAGGCGGUCCUUUAAGUCUGAUGUGAAAGCCCACGGCUUAACCGUGGAGGGCCAUUGGAAACUGGAGGACUUGAGUACAGAAGAGGAGAGUGGAAUUCCACGUGUAGCGGUGAAAUGCGUAGAGAUGUGGAGGAACACCAGUGGCGAAGGCGACUCUCUGGUCUGUAACUGACGCUGAGGUGCGAAAGCGUGGGGAGCGAACAGGAUUAGAUACCCUGGUAGUCCACGCCGUAAACGAUGAGUGCUAGGUGUUAGGGGGUUUCCGCCCCUUAGUGCUGAAGUUAACGCAUUAAGCACUCCGCCUGGGGAGUACGGCCGCAAGGCUGAAACUCAAAAGAAUUGACGGGGGCCCGCACAAGCGGUGGAGCAUGUGGUUUAAUUCGAAGCAACGCGAAGAACCUUACCAGGUCUUGACAUCCUCUGCCAAUCCUAGAGAUAGGAUGUUCCCUUCGGGGACAGAGUGACAGGUGGUGCAUGGUUGUCGUCAGCUCGUGUCGUGAGAUGUUGGGUUAAGUCCCGCAACGAGCGCAACCCUUGAUCUUAGUUGCCAGCAUUUAGUUGGGCACUCUAAGGUGACUGCCGGUGACAAACCGGAGGAAGGUGGGGAUGACGUCAAAUCAUCAUGCCCCUUAUGACCUGGGCUACACACGUGCUACAAUGGAUGGAACAAAGGGCAGCGAAGCCGCGAGGUCAAGCAAAUCCCAUAAAACCAUUCUCAGUUCGGAUUGCAGGCUGCAACUCGCCUGCAUGAAGCCGGAAUCGCUAGUAAUCGCGGAUCAGCAU
rnacentral:rRNA from 1 species